ensembl:lncRNA
UCCAAUAAGAUCCCGUUUCUAACAGUAGGUGAUGGAGGGCUCCAGGGCUGGGGGCAGCAAAUCUUUUUUUUUUUUUUUUUUUGCCACCAGAUAUUAUGAUGACAGUUGGCCACUUGCUAUGCCUCAGUUUCUUCCUGCAAAAAAGGGGAAAAUAAUAGUCUCUAUCUCACAGGGUUGUUGUAAAGAUUAAAGGAUUAAAUGAGCACCAGGCAGGUGCUGAGUAUUCGGUCAGAGUUGGCACCUUCUAUUGUUAUUGCUGUUGUUGUGUUACUGUUGUCAUUGUAUCCCUAGUACCCAGCCCAGUGCCAGGCACCCAGUAGAUGCUCCACAAACAUUUAUUGAAUAAAUAAAUGACUUCAGCUGGGUGCACAUUAAUGUUUUUCACACCCUUGACAUCAGCAAGGCUUUUUCCAAUAUUGAACACUGAACUCUGUUUCUGUUGUGUGACUUGAAUUCCCCAGGGAAGAUGAGUGAUUGGGAGCAGACUCUCAAUGUCCUCUGAAAAAUAACCUGCUGAAUGGAGAAAGCCAUGGUGACCUCCGUCUUUGGGGCCAGGUCAAGGAAGAAACAGGACUUAAAAAAAAUAUGGUGAUUAUGGUUUAGGGAGGCAGACCUUUAGAGUCAAGUAAGCACAAUCUGGGUAAAACAAAUGUCACUUAUUUACAUGUAAGGGGCAACAUUUCCAUCCAGCAGGAAAGUGUCCUCUUGCUCUUGAACAAGACAUUGUGCUUUCAAAAUUUUAUUCUUUUUCAUCCAGGGUCGAUGGCUGGAGGAAGAAAUGAGAGGAUCUCCAUACCGAGGCCUUGGCUUCUACGUCCUUUCUCGAAGUGUUUGGAGUGCAGAUUUCUGAUUCUGUGCCCAGCCUCCAGGGACACAGUACACAGUAUACUGGGAAUGAUGGUCCAGUCAAUAUCUGGCUCGUUGAACACUUGUAUAGAUCACCCUCAGUGAAUAGAGAUAUUUGGUUUCAAGAUGCCCAGCUCUGUGCCUGGAUUUCUGCCUUCUCACUUCUCACUGUGUUUGGCCAAUGGAGGAUACCAGCAGAUGAUCCCAGGAAGGAGGUGAGUGAGGAUGGGUACAUCUUCCCCUGCUUCUCUGCUUAUGGGAUCAUUGUAAGCUGGCUGACACCCUUGAUGGAAAACCAGAGCUCUUUCUGUCUCCAGAUUUCUUGUUCUUAGGGUCCUGCACCACCCCCUGGGGCUUCCCUAUGCUCUGCCCUCUCCUUUAUGAGUGGUGCAUCUACAAACGCUCCUCACUGACCCUAGGUGAGAACCUGACUUAGUGAGGCGGGAGUCUCCCAGAAUCUUUGUGCCACAGGAUUAAGACAUUAAGAGUGAUUCCAAUCUCUGUAUCAUGGGUGGGAAAGGGGCUUCCAAAAUAUUUUCAAGCACUGGAGGACCCCUUCCUGCAACCCUCAUUGGGCCAUAUGCCCAGGCAACUCCCAUCAGGAAGAAAGCAGGAGCCUCUUGGGGCCAUUUUUCCACCUCCCAGGUUAUAUCUUAAGGAGGUAAGGUUUGCAAGUUGCUGAGCACAAGGCCCACAGUGAAUACUCAUUGAAUGUUUUCUAUCAUUUUUAUUAUCACUAUGUUUGGAAUAUGGCAAUACUCCAUCUCUACCAAAAAAACUAAAUUAAUCAGUCAGAAGUGGGUGGCAUGGGCCUGUAGUGGAAGGUGCCACGUAUUUUCUGCUGGGACCCUGACUGGGACACAGAGCCCAGGACCUUUGACUGAUUGAGGAUCUUAGUUACAGGACUCAGCCUUGAGUCCCUGUGAGGAUCCUCUUUCUUCCAAAAGAUUCUCUACAAAGAGGUCACACCCACUGUGCCCCAGCGCCUGAAAUGGAAUGGAAAUUGCAUAGUUAAUAAGGUUACAUCUUUUUCAUUCCAUGAUGGUUCAGGGCCUUCAAAAAAACACAUUGAUUAUUUUUCUCCUUAUUCAUAUUUUCCUCUUUAUAGAUGUCAGUUUUCAGAAAAAGGAAUAUCCAGAGUCCUAAAACCUGAAAAUAAGGAUGCACUUUUUG